rnacentral:rRNA from 14 species
UCCUGAAGGAACGUUGAAGACGACGACGUUGAUAGGUCGGGUGUGUAAGUGUAGCGAUACAUUGAGCUAACCGAUACUAAUGAACCGUGAGGCUUAACCUUACAACGCCGAAG